rnacentral:rRNA from 1 species
CCUACGGGAGGCAGCAGUGAGGAAUAUUGGUCAAUGGACGAGAGUCUGAACCAGCCAAGUAGCGUGAAGGAUGACUGCCCUAUGGGUUGUAAACUUCUUUUAUAUGGGAAUAAAACGUUCCACGUGUGGGAUUUUGUAUGUACCAUAUGAAUAAGGAUCGGCUAACUCCGUGCCAGCAGCCGCGGUAAUACGGAGGAUCCGAGCGUUAUCCGGAUUUAUUGGGUUUAAAGGGAGCGUAGGUGGAUUGUUAAGUCAGUUGUGAAAGUUUGCGGCUCAACCGUAAAAUUGCAGUUGAAACUGGCAGUCGUGAGUACAGUAGAGGUGGGCGGAAUUCGUGGUGUAGCGGUGAAAUGCUUAGAUAUCACGAAGAACUCCGAUUGCGAAGGCAGCUCACUGGACUGCAACUGACACUGAGGCUCGAAAGUGUGGGUAUCAAACAGGAUUAGAUACCCUAGUAGUC